rnacentral:tRNA from 1 species
UGGGGGGUGGCGCAAUGGCGGCGCGGGUGGCUGUUAACCACAAGGCUGCGGGUUCGAGUCCCGCCCUCCCAGCCA